UGUCCAGUAGCACCUUAGAGACCAACUAAGUUUGUUCUUGGUAUAAGCUUUCGUGUGCAUGCACACUUCUUCUGAAGAACUUAGUUGAUCUCUAAGGUGCUACUGGACA